rnacentral:rRNA from 1 species
CGCAAGCCUGACGGAGCAAGACCGCGUGGGGGAGGAAGGCUCUUGGGUUGUAAACCCCUUUUCUCAGGGAAGAACAAAUGACGGUACCUGAGGAAUCAGCCUCGGCUAACUCCGUGCCAGCAGCCGCGGUAAUACGGAGGAGGCAAGCGUUAUCCGGAAUUAUUGGGCGUAAAGCGUCCGCAGGUGGCGAUUCAAGUCUGCUGUCAAAGCACGGGGCUUAACUCCGUAAAGGCAGUGGAAACUGAAUAGCUAGAGUGUGGUAGGGGUAGAGGGAAUUCCCGGUGUAGCGGUGAAAUGCGUAGAUAUUGGGAAGAACAUCGGUGGCGAAAGCGCUCUACUGGACCGCAACUGACACUGAGGGACGAAAGCUAGGGGAGCG